rnacentral:rRNA from 1 species
GAUGAACGCUGGCGGCGUGCCUAAUACAUGCAAGUCGAGCGAACAGACGAGGAGCUUGCUCCUCUGACGUUAGCGGCGGACGGGUGAGUAACACGUGGAUAACCUACCUAUAAGACUGGGAUAACUUCGGGAAACCGGAGCUAAUACCGGAUAAUAUAUUGAACCGCAUGGUUCUAUAGUGAAAGACGGUUUUGCUGUCACUUAUAGAUGGAUCCGCGCCGCAUUAGCUAGUUGGUAAGGUAACGGCUUACCAAGGCAACGAUGCGUAGCCGACCUGAGAGGGUGAUCGGCCACACUGGAACUGAGACACGGUCCAGACUCCUACGGGAGGCAGCAGUAGGGAAUCUUCCGCAAUGGGCGAAAGCCUGACGGAGCAACGCCGCGUGAGUGAUGAAGGUCUUCGGAUCGUAAAACUCUGUUAUUAGGGAAGAACAAAUGUGUAAGUAACGAUGCACGUCUUGACGGUACCUAACCAGAAAGCCACGGCUAACUACGU